GACGAACGCUGGCGGCGUGCUUAACACAUGCAAGUCGAACGGAAAGGCCUGCUUUCCCUUGUGGAUUGCGGGUACUCGAGUGGCGAACGGGUGAGUAACACGUGAGUGAUCUGCCCCCAACUUGGGUAUAAGCCUGGGAAACUGGGUCUAAUUCCCGAUAGGACUGCAGGGUGGUGCCUGUGGUGGAAAACGAUUUUCUAGUGGUUGGGGAUGAGCUCGCGGCCUAUCGGCUUGUGGGUGGGGUAAUGGCCUACCAAGGCGGCGACGGGUAGCCGGCCUGAGAGGGUGGACGGCCACAUUGGGACUGAGAUACGGCCCAGACUCCUACGGGAGGCAGCAGUGGGGAAUAUUGCACAAUGGGCGGAAGCCUGAUGCAGCGACGCCGCGUGGGGGAUGACGGCCUUCGGGUUGUAAACUCCUUUCGACCGCGAGGAAGCCACCUGGUUGGAAGGGUGGUGACGGUAGUGGUAGAAGAAGCACCGGCUAACUACGUG
rnacentral:rRNA from 1 species